rnacentral:rRNA from 1 species
ACGAACGCUGGCGGCGCGCCUAACACAUGCAAGUCGAACGAGCGAGAGAGAGCUUGCUUUCUUGAGCGAGUGGCGAACGGGUGAGUAACGCGUGAGGAACCCGCCUCAAAGAGGGGGACAACAGUUGGAAACGACUGCUAAUACCGCAUAAGCCCACGGUGCCGCAUGGCACAGAGGGAAAAGGAGCAAUCCGCUUUGAGAUGGCCUCGCGUCCGAUUAGCUAGUUGGUGAGGUAACGGCCCACCAAGGCGACGAUCGGUAGCCGGACUGAGAGGUUGAACGGCCACAUUGGGACUGAGACACGGCCCAGACUCCUACGGGAGGCAGCAGUGGGGAAUAUUGCACAAUGGGGGAAACCCUGAUGCAGCGACGCCGCGUGGAGGAAGAAGGUCUUCGGAUUGUAAACUCCUGUUGUUGGGGAAGAUAAUGACGGUACCCAACAAGGAAGUGACGGCUAACUACGUG